CUCACCUGGGUUCUAUAUUUUUUGUUAACCCUCUACUAUAAUCCUCCAUUGAUAUUUUCUUCGUAUCUUCUGCCACUUUCUUCACUACCCUAUAAACUUUCAUCGGCUACUCUGUUUUUCUGGCAGGGCUUGUUGUUGGGGAAGGGGGGGGGGAAAAUUCUUCUUUUUUUUUAUAAUUUCUCCCAUUUUUUUAUUUUUUGUUCUGUUGGUGACCCUCUCUAAAACAUGUGAGGUUAUAUUCUUUGCCUCCUAAACCAAGGCAAAUGUUAAUCUUUCUGGAUCUGCAAGCGUGAUUUUGGGGUACAAUAUGGGGCAUAUCUAUUUAUAGUUUUUAUCUCCUUUCCCAUUUCUUCAGCUUGACUGAGCUUUCUAGUUUACAUCAAAUUCUACACGCUUUGUACACAAGAGCAUUUCUUUGGUUUUUUCAAGUCAAUAGAUGGUACUUCAUU
rnacentral:misc_RNA from 1 species